rnacentral:rRNA from 1 species
AGAGUUUGAUCCUGGCUCAGGAUGAACGCUAGCGACAGGCCUAACACAUGCAAGUCGAGGGGCAGCGGAGAGGUAGCAAUACCUUUGCCGGCGACCGGCGCACGGGUGAGUAACACGUAUGCAAUCCACCUGUAACAGGGGGAUAACCCGGAGAAAUCCGGACUAAUACCCCAUAAUAUGGGUUCUCCGCAUGGAGGGUCCAUUAAAGAGAGCAAUUUUGGUUACAGACGAGCAUGCGCUCCAUUAGCCAGUUGGCGGGGUAACGGCCCACCAAAGCGACGAUGGAUAGGGGUUCUGAGAGGAAGGUCCCCCACAUUGGAACUGAGACACGGUCCAAACUCCUACGGGAGGCAGCAGUGAGGAAUAUUGGUCAAUGGUCGGCAGACUGAACCAGCCAAGUCGCGUGAGGGAAGACGGCCCUACGGGUUGUAAACCUCUUUUGUCGGAGAGUAAAGUACGCUACGUGUAGCGUAUUGCAAGUAUCCGAAGAAAAAGCAUCGGCUAACUCCGUGCCAGCAGCCGCGGUAAUACGGAGGAUGCAAGCGUUAUCCGGAUUUAUUGGGUUUAAAGGGUGCGUAGGCGGCACGCCAAGUCAGCGGUGAAAUUUCCGGGCUCAACCCGGACUGUGCCGUUGAAACUGGCGAGCUAGAGUGCACAAGAGGCAGGCGGAAUGCGUGGUGUAGCGGUGAAAUGCAUAGAUAUCACGCAGAACCCCGAUUGCGAAGGCAGCCUGCUAGGGUGCGACAGACGCUGAGGCACGAAAGCGUGGGUAUCGAACAGGAUUAGAUACCCUGGUAGUCCACGCAGUAAACGAUGAAUACUAACUGUUUGCGAUACAAUGUAAGCGGUACAGCGAAAGCGUUAAGUAUUCCACCUGGGGAGUACGCCGGCAACGGUGAAACUCAAAGGAAUUGACGGGGGCCCGCACAAGCGGAGGAACAUGUGGUUUAAUUCGAUGAUACGCGAGGAACCUUA